UACGUAGGGGGCUAGCGUUAUCCGGAAUUACUGGGCGUAAAGGGUGCGUAGGUGGUUUCUUAAGUCUGAGGUGAAAGGCUACGGCUCAACCGUAGUAAGCCUUUGAAACUGAGAAACUUGAGUGCAGGAGAGGAGAGUAGAAUUCCUAGUGUAGCGGUGAAAUGCGUAGAUAUUAGGAGGAAUACCAGUGGCGAAGGCGGCUCUCUGGACUGUAACUGACACUGAGGCACGAAAGCGUGGGGAGCAAACAGG
rnacentral:rRNA from 1 species